rnacentral:rRNA from 1 species
UACGUAGGGUGCGAGCGUUGUCCGGAAUUACUGGGCGUAAAGAGCUCGUAGGUGGUUUGUCGCGUUGUUCGUGAAAACCGGGGGCUUAACCCUCGGCGUGCGGGCGAUACGGGCAGACUUGAGUACUGCAGGGGAGACUGGAAUUCCCGGUGUAGCGGUGAAAUGCGCAGAUAUCGGGAAGAACACCCGUGGCGAAGGCGGUUCUCUGGGACGGUACUGACGCUGAGACGCGAAAGCGUGGGGAGCGAACAGG